GAUGAACGCUAGGCGGGAGGACUUAACACAUGCAAGUCGGAGGGCAGCAUAGGGUAGCAAUACUCUGAUGGCGACCGGCAAACGGGUGAGUAACGCGUAUGUAACCUACCCUGUACAGGGGGAUAACCCGGAGAAAUUCGGACUAAUAUCCCAUAACAAUAUCCGGGGGCAUCUUUGGAUAUUUAAAGUUCCGGCGGUACGGGAUGGGCAUGCGUAACAUUAGCUAGUUGGUAAGGUAACGGCUUACCAAGGCUUUGAUGUUUAGGGGUCCUGAGAGGGUGGUCCCCCACACUGGUACUGAGACACGGACCAGACUCCUACGGGAGGCAGCAGUGAGGAAUAUUGGUCAAUGGGCGCAAGCCUGAACCAGCCAUCCCGCGUGCAGGAAGACGGCGCUAUGCGUUGUAAACUGCUUUUCCAGGGAGAGAAACUUGCGCACGUGUUGCGCAAUUGACGGUACCCUGGGAAUAAGCAUCGGCUAACUCCGUG
rnacentral:rRNA from 1 species